rnacentral:lncRNA from 1 species
ACCGACGGGUUUGUAGCCCAACCGUCGAUCCGUUUGCAAUUGAACCAACUGGGUUAUUUCUUUUGCUUUAAAACCCUGUUUUCGAAAUCCCCAAUUCACGUUAACCAGGAAAGCUGUAUUCUUCAUUCCAAAAUCCGACUGCUUCGCUACCGUCUGCAGCUUAAGUCUUAAGAGAUGGAAGAAAAAGAGGUAAGUAUGAAGCCAGUGGAAAUAGAUUUUGAUUGAUUAGUUGAAAAUAUGCAUGUGGUGGAUUUCAAAAUUUUUAGAACAAUAUAUAGUUGUUUUGUGCAAUUUAAUAUUCUUACAAAGCAUAAUUGCAUAAAAAUAAUCCUGUGGUGAAUCUUGUUUUUAGAACAAGAUAAUGUAGUUGGUUUUCAGAAUUGCAGUGGACUGCUUCGGAUUCUAUGCUUUUAGGAUUUGGAAUUAAAUUUACAUAAUAAUUUGCUAUUAUUUAUAUUCCCUUGAGUUGGUGUUUACAAGAAUUGGAUAGAUUUUUAUCUUCCUAUUAAUGUACAUUCAUUGUCCAUUCCAUGUAUUUCUUGAAUCACGAAACCUGUUGAAGACAAAUUCAAGGUUAGUCUUUCAGUUUAUAUCAAUUUUGAUUGGUGAAAGGUUUAAAAUCUAUUCAGUUUGAGGUGUUAAUUAUUUGAUUGGUGAUUUUGUAGAACCAUUUUUUGCUUUGCUGUGGAUUUUGCUAAAAUAUUGGUAGUCUCAAGAGUACCUGUUAGAAACGAAAAUACUUAUUACCAGCACUUGUUAGAGACUAAAAUAUUGCUGAUGUUUGUUGUCAAGAUGCUUAGAGCUGGUUCCCUGUUAGAGACAUUGACACAUAAUUUGAGAUGCAAUGGAUGGUCCUACCCAGAAGAAUAACUUACUCAAUGCCUUAACUCCCUUAAAAAGAAUAACGAAAUCAUUUCCUAUAUAAAUAAGUCACUGGUCAAGUCACAUGUGUCGCUGACAUUAAUUUGCAGACACUCUAAGAUAAUUAUUUGCAAAUGUAAGCUUUGUUAUAACAAGCAGGUAGUUAGUGUCAUGGAAGGUAAAGUUAAUAUUUAUACCAAAUGCAUGUAAGAUUGUUCUGCAUGAUUCCAUCCAUGAUCAUUAUCACUCUAAAAAAAUGAUAAAAAUGAUGGUAAUUGUUUCACUGACGUUAUUGUUUCUUCCUUUUAUUAAAGUAUAUAUGAUGUAACGUUGAAAUUUAAAACUAUUUUCAGAUGAAUUACAUUUUGAUGAUCUUGAUCUUGAUUGUGAUGGAAAUGAUGACAAUGGAAAUGAUACAAACGAUGGAAACAAGGAUUUUAGUAUGACCGAGACUCCGUCAUUGGUACAAGGCGAAGGAAUUGAAGAAUUUAUGUCCGAGACUCCAGCAUGGAUGCGCUCUAACUCUUCUUAAUUGAGAAAAUUUUAACUUACUUCAAAUAAUUUACUUUGUUAUCAUGUUCUUUAGCCACGUUUUACUUUUAGUUCAUGGUUUUAUUUUUGCAAAAGUACUCUUAAAGUAUAUGAAGCUACCUUGUUGAACCUUGCAUAUGAAGUAGUAUUUUUUUUAGUCUUUUUUAAUUAUUGAUUAUUGUUUUUAUUGUUUCAAGUCCAUAUUUGAUUAUGUAUGAUUCAGAAU